rnacentral:rRNA from 1 species
AACGAACGCUGGCGGCAUGCCUAACACAUGCAAGUCGAACGAGACCUUCGGGUCUAGUGGCGCACGGGUGCGUAACGCGUGGGAACCUGCCCUUAGGUUCGGAAUAACUCCCCGAAAGGGGUGCUAAUACCGGAUAAUGUCUUCGGACCAAAGAUUUAUCGCCUUUGGAUGGGCCCGCGUUGGAUUAGCUAGUUGGUAGGGUAAAAGCCUACCAAGGCGACGAUCCAUAGCUGGUCUGAGAGGAUGAUCAGCCACACUGGGACUGAGACACGGCCCAGACUCCUACGGGAAGCAGCAGUGGGGAAUAUUGGACAAUGGGCGAAAGCCUGAUCCAGCAAUGCCGCGUGAGUGAUGAAGGCCUUAGGGUUGUAAAGCUCUUUUACUCGGGAUGAUAAUGACAGUACCGGGAGAAUAAGCUCCGGCUAACUCCGUG